rnacentral:rRNA from 1 species
GAGAAUGCCGGUAUGAGUAGCGAAAGAGGGGUGAGAAUCCCCUCCACCGAAUGCCUAAGGUUUCCUGAGGAAGGCUCGUCCGCUCAGGGUUAGUCGGGACCUAAGCCGAGGCCGAAAGGCGUAGGCGAUGGACAACAGGUUGAUAUUCCUGUACCACCUCCUCACCAUUUGAGCAAUGGGGGGACGCAGGAGGAUAGGGUAAGCGCGGUAUUGGAUAUCCGCGUCCAAGCAGUUAGGCUGGGAAAUAGGCAAAUCCGUUUCCCGUGAAGGCUGAGCUGUGAUGGCGAGCGAAUUAUAGUAGCGAAGUUCCUGAUUCCACACUGCCAAGAAAAGCCUCUAGCGAGGUGAGAGGUGCCCGUACCGCAAACCGACACAGGUAGGCGAGGAGAGAAUCCUAAGGUGAUCGAGAGAACUCUCGUUAAGGAACUCGGCAAAAUGACCCCGUAACUUCGGGAGAAGGGGUGCUCUGUUAGGGUGCAAGCCCGAGAGAGCCGCAGUGAAUAGGCCCAGGCGACUGUUUAGCAAAAACACAGGUCUCUGCGAAGCCGUAAGGCGAAGUAUAGGGGCUGACGCCUGCCCGGUGCUGGAAGGUUAAGAGGAGCGCUUAGCGUAAGCGAAGGUGCGAAUUGAAGCCCCAGUAAACGGCGGCCGUAACUAUAACGGUCCUAAGGUAGCGAAAUUCCUUGUCGGGUAAGUUCCGACCCGCACGAAAGGCGCAACGAUCUGGGCACUGUCUCAACGAGAGACUCGGUGAAAUUAUAGUACCUGUGAAGAUGCAGGUUACCCGCGACAGGACGGAAAGACCCCGUGGAGCUUUACUGCAGCCUGAUAUUGAAUGUUGGUACAGCUUGUACAGGAUAGGUAGGAGCCUUGGAAACCGGAGCGCCAGCUUCGGUGGAGGCAUCGGUGGGAUACUACCCUGGCUGUAUUGACCUUCUAACCCGCCGCCCUUAUCGGGCGGGGAGACAGUGUCAGGUGGGCAG